CGCUUUUGGAGAGGAUUAAGAUUAAAAGUUUGCAUUAUAAAAUGUUUUGGUCGGACAGUUGUCCAAUUUUCUUCACUGUAGAGAUUUUUUUUUUCCGAUUACAAUGGAGGUCUAUGGACUUAGUGCCUUUCUUUCUGUUCUUUUAUAUUUAAUUCUGAUAUUUCGUGCUUGGAUUGGACUUCUUUCUUCCUCUAUCAAUCUCAGAGGUUGAUGAGUGGGGGUGGAAUUCCUCAAACUGAGUAUGGAAUUUUCUUGUUUCUGGAAUUGGAGCUCUUAUCUUCUCUACGCCAAUCUGUUCAGUUGCAGAGGAAGCCAUGGGCUGAACAAGACAGAAGAACGCAGCAAGAAGAAUCUUAUUUCAUGAAGUUUCUAUCCUGCAGAAUUUACUGCCCUUUCAUCUGCUUCUGCAAGCCCUCUCCUCACAUCCACACCUCCGGCUCCGGGCCGCUGAAACUGCAGAAUGGCCCUCAGCUGCCUUCAACCCUCGUCUCGGUCUCCAAUGCCUCGGAUCAGUCGCCUGCUGAGACCACAGAGGUGAAGGAUGGCAGCUUAGUUGCUGCGAAGGGAACUGGUCGUUGCUCCAAGAGCAGCCUCAGGAGGGUGCCUUCGGAAUUGGAACCAAAAGCGCAUCAGAAGAAGAAAGUGCAAUGGGUGGAUUUCUUAGGGAAGGAACUUGUUGAGAUCAGGGAGUACGAGUCUAGCGAGGUAGAUGACACCGACAGGGAGGGAGAUGGGAACAGAGGCUGUGUUUGUGUUAUUCUUUGAUCGUGCGUGCGAUCCACGGAAUGGUAGAAUGAGCGAAGAACUUCGAUUCUCAGUGUAGUUCCGUUCAUCUCGGGUUUGCCGAGAAGUUCCCGACUGGGUCUUCUGCGAGAAGAACGUGAACGUGAGAGGAGCGGAAGCGAAGGGCAAAGGACUGGAGGCGCCUAGAAAAUCAACAACAGUAAAAGAGCAGGGGUUUACUAUACCAUUUGGAGGAUGGGCAAUUAAGGAGAUCGAGAAGCAAGGGAAGCCAAGCUAAAUAAUUCUAUAUUACCGGUGACGAAAUUGAUAAACUGCUCGAUCGAUGCCCUAUUUAUACUUUCUUUAUAUUAUAUCGUCAUCUCCCCUACUAACUUGAUUCAUUUAUGGAUCUCUUAUUGAACUUGCUACAAUUUCUUGAAUUUUCUUAUAAUUUUUUUGCUAAGACUUGUGAUCGACUUGGUUGUGAUUGCAGAUAGUUGAUAAGAGUGUUCAAGCGAGGGAAUAAGAAAAAGAGGACAAAAAAGAUUAAGAGGACUAAAGAGAUUAUUGUAUCAUCCUCCAAUUUCCCGGUAUGGUCCACUGAAGUUGAAAUUGGAGACUCAUACAAGUUGGAUACUUUAAUAUUCUAUAAACAUCUUUGCAAAUUCAGUUUACAAAUUAUCAACUAAAAUUGAAAUUUGCAAGCGCCCGCGCGAUGCAUGGGUCACAUGACUAGUUUAUCUUUAAUUUCCGCCUACUUAAUUAAAUGCUUCUUAAUUAACCGUGAUAUUUCAUGAUGAACAUUGGAAAGAGAGUGUUAUAUUAAUUAUUUUAAAGUUGUAAUA